rnacentral:rRNA from 1 species
CCUACGGGUGGCAGCAGUGAGGAAUAUUGGUCAAUGGACGAGAGUCUGAACCAGCCAAGUAGCGUGAAGGAUGACUGCCCUAUGGGCGGUAAACUUCUUUUAUAAAGGAAUAAAACGAGGCACGUGUGCCUUUUUGCAUGUACUUUAUGAAUAAGGCUCGGCUAACUCCGUGCCAGCAGCCGCGGUAAUACGGAGGAUCCGAGCGUUAUCCGGAUUUAGUGGGUGUAAAGGGAGCGUAGAUGGGUUGGUAAGUCAGUUGUGAAAGUUUGCGGCUCAACCGUAAAAUUGCAAUUGAUACUGGCAGUCUUGAGUGCAGUUGGGGUAGGCGGAAUUCGUGGUGUAGCGGUGAAAUGCUUAGAUAUCACGAGGAACCCCGAUUGCGAAGGCAGCUUACUAAACUGUAACUGACAUUGAUGCUCGAAAGUGUGGGGAGCAAACAGGAUUAGAUACCCGGGUAGUC